AUUUCACUCGUCCUGUGAAUUCAGAUGCAGUUAAGAGAUACUUUGCCUAAAAAAAAAAAGUAUAUGCAAAUGAAAAAAGAAUGAAAAAACAGAAUAGCUCGCUAAGUUGAAAACCCGAAAGGGCGACUUAGGCAAAAAUGAGCGUCUCGGUGGAGAACCCGCAAGGGUAAUUCAGGCAAAAAUUAGAGACUUGAAAAAA
rnacentral:lncRNA from 1 species